rnacentral:misc_RNA from 1 species
UGUACACACCGCCCGUCACACCAUGGGAGCGGGUUCUGCCAGAAGUAGUUAGCCUAACCUGCAAAGGAGGGCGAUUACCACGGCAGGGUUCGUGACUGGGGUGAAGUCGUAACAAGGUAGCCGUAUCGGAAGGUGCGGCUGGAUCACCUCCUUUCUGGAAAUGAAGCAAUUUGCGCUUCUUACGCCCAUUCUUAUCGGUUGUUGUUUAAAACAACAGCAUAGGCCCGCGUUUAGCUAGGCUAUCUGAUUGGUGCCGCCUUCAGGUUCUUCGAUGAACUCAAAGGGUCUGUAGCUCAGCUGGUUAGAGCACUGUGUUGAUAACGCAGGGGUCGUUGGUUCGAGUCCAACCAGACCCACCACAUCAGGGUCGAGAAAUUUCAGAACGCAGUCAAAGGAUUUCGUUCCUGGGGGAUUAGCUCAGCUGGGAGAGCACCUGCUUUGCAAGCAGGGGGUCGUCGGUUCGAUCCCGUCAUCCUCCACCACUUACCAGCACCGACCGGGAAAAAAAGGGUAGGGCUCAAUUUACUAAUGCAAAGUACUCUCUUUGAGAGUGCUUUGUGUUGGUUGAUUUAUUUAUUUAUAUCAAUCGAUUAUUGGCUGUUCUUUAAAAAUUCAUAGAGUUAAAUCAGCGCUGCUGGCGGAAACUGCACAUUCGUAAAGGUUUAGUGCAGACCGUGCCGCCAGUAGCAAUUUAGAGAAAUUUUGAUUGCGUCAAAAUGAACUUUUGAUUUCGAGCGGAAAUGCAUGAAAGUGCAAAUUAGAUCGAAUUGAAAGAUACGGCAUAACGCGUCAGGUGAAAGACCUGACAAUCAUUCCUUGAAAAUAACGGCGAGAAAUCAAAGUUAUAGGGUCAAGUGAAUAAGAGCACAUGGUGGAUGCCUUGGCAAUGAUAGGCGACGAAAGACGUGAUAGCCUGCGAUAAGCUUCGGGGAGCUGGCAAAUUAGCUUUGAUCCGGAGAUUUCUGAAUGGGGGAACCCACCUAGCAAUAGGUAUCUUUAACUGAAUACAUAGGUUAUUGAGGCGAACCGGGUGAACUGAAACAUCUCAGUAGCUCGAGGAAAAGACAUCAACCGAGAUUCCGAAAGUAGUGGCGAGCGAAA